AACAGCAUCGACUUGUUUAAUAAUAUGCCUGUUUUUUUUUUUCCCCAAAGUAAGCAACCAUAAGCAAAAAAAUAAUAAUAAUAAGGUUAAAAAAAAAAGAUGCAAAAGAAAGAAAAC
rnacentral:sRNA from 13 species